rnacentral:ribozyme from 14 species
AAAAAAAAAAAAAAAAAAAAGGGGAAAAAAAAAAAAAAAAACCAUCGUCUGCAUCAUUGUCUGCU